rnacentral:rRNA from 1 species
AGAGUUUGAUCCUGGCUCAGAACGAACGCUGGCGGCAUGCCUAACACAUGCAAGUCGAACGAGACCUUCGGGUCUAGUGGCGCACGGGUGCGUAACGCGUGGGAAUCUGCCCUUGGGUUCGGAAUAACAUCGGGAAACUGAUGCUAAUACCGGAUGAUGACGUAAGUCCAAAGAUUUAUCGCCCAGGGAUGAGCCCGCGUAGGAUUAGCUAGUUGGUGAGGUAAAGGCUCACCAAGGCGACGAUCCUUAGCUGGUCUGAGAGGAUGAUCAGCCACACUGGGACUGAGACACGGCCCAGACUCCUACGGGAGGCAGCAGUAGGGAAUAUUGGACAAUGGGCGAAAGCCUGAUCCAGCAAUGCCGCGUGAGUGAUGAAGGCCUUAGGGUUGUAAAGCUCUUUUACCCGGGAUGAUAAUGACAGUACCGGGAGAAUAAGCCCCGGCUAACUCCGUGCCAGCAGCCGCGGUAAUAC